UAAAGACGAGAAGACCCUUAGAGUUUUUCUAAAAUUGAGAUGUUUACUUCUCAUAACAGUUUAGUUGGGGCAACAUAGGAGCAAUUUAUUUAAAUCUCCUGAAAAUAACUUAUCGAUUAUUUUAGUAUUGAAUAAACUACCUUAGGGAUAACAGCAUAAUUUUACUAUUAAGUUUGUGACCUCGAUGUUGGACUGGGAAACUUAAAGGUUAGCCACCUUUAAGGUGAGUUCUGUUCGAACUAUUAUUCCC
rnacentral:rRNA from 1 species